UACGUAGGGAGCAAGCGUUGUCCGGAAUCAUUGGGCGUAAAGCGCGCGUAGGUGGCCUCAUAAGUCCGCUGUAAAAGUCCAGGGCUCAACCCUGGAAAGCCGGUGGAUACUGUCGGGCUAGAGUCCGGAAGAGGCGAGUGGAAUUCCUGGUGUAGCGGUGGAAUGCGCAGAUAUCAGGAGGAACACCGAUGGCGAAGGCAGCUCGCUGGGACGGUACUGACGCUGAGGCGCGAAAGCGUGGGGAGCGAACAGG
rnacentral:rRNA from 1 species